GACGAACGCUGGCGGCGUGCUUAACACAUGCAAGUCGAACGCUGAAGCUUGGUGCUUGCACUGGGUGGAUGAGUGGCGAACGGGUGAGUAAUACGUGAGUAACCUGCCCUUGACUCUGGGAUAAGCCUGGGAAACUGGGUCUAAUACUGGAUACGACAUGUCACCGCAUGGUGGCGUGUGGAAAGGGUUUUACUGGUUUUGGAUGGGCUCACGGCCUAUCAGCUUGUUGGUGGGGUAAUGGCUCACCAAGGCGACGACGGGUAGCCGGCCUGGGAGGGUGACCGGCCACACUGGGACUGAGACACGGCCCAGACUCCUACGGGAGGCAGCAGUGGGGAAUAUUGCACAAUGGGCGAAAGCCUGAUGCAGCGACGCCGCGUGAGGGAUGACGGCCUUCGGGUUGUAAACCUCUUUCAGCACGGAAGAAGCGAAAGUGACGGUACGUGCAGAAGAAGCGCCGGCUAACUACGUG
rnacentral:rRNA from 1 species